AUUAACGCUGGCGGCAUGUCUAAGGCAUGCAAGUCGAACGAAUUGUUUUUCUUCGGAAGUUCAGUUAGUGGCAAACGGGAGCGUAACACAUUGGUAACUCACCCCGAGCUCGUGAACAACUUAUGGAAACGUAAGCUAAUACACGAUAUUAUCCCUACAGAUAUGUAGGGAUGAAAGCUCCGGCGGCACGGGAGAGGCCUAUGCACUAUCAGUUAGUUGGUGAGGUAAUGGCUCACCAAGGCAAUGACGGGUAGCGGUUCUGAGAGGAUGAUCCGCCACACUGGUACUGAGACACGGACCAGACUCCUACGGGAGGCAGCAGUGAGGAAUAUUGCACAAUGGGGGGAACCCUGAUGCAGCAACGCCGCGUGGAGGAUGACGCAUUUCGGUGUGUAAACUCCUUUUAUAUGUCAAGAAAAUGACGGUAGCAUAUGAAUAAGCACCGGCUAACUCCGU
rnacentral:rRNA from 1 species